rnacentral:rRNA from 1 species
AGAGUUUGAUCAUGGCUCAGAGCGAACGCUGGCGGCGUGCCUAACACAUGCAAGUCGAACGAGAGUAGCAAUACUCUAGUGGCAGACGGGUGAGUAACACGUGGUCAACCUACCGUUUAGUGGGGGAUAACUAGCCGAAAGGUUAGCUAAUACCGCAUACGAUCUUCGAGUGGCAUCAUUUGAAGAGGAAAGGAGCAAUC